rnacentral:lncRNA from 1 species
CCUUCCGCUCCGGCGCUCGGGAAACGUCACUGUGCGUGACGGCGCGCGAGCCGCCAUUUGUUCUGCGCGCGCGCCGCCGCGCGUGGGUACCGCGCAUGCGCCGUGAGCCGAGCGGGCAAGGCGGGUACCGCGUCCAGCUCUGGCUGUGCAGAUUAAUGUAAUGAUGUAAGGUGUGUCAGAUGGCUUCCUUCUGCAGGCAGAGAACACCUCUGCAGCCGCUGUUAGCGCAGGCCUCCGGAGGUGCCUCACUGAAGGGACGUUCUCAUUUUGUGGUGUGGAAGAGAAUCCACAUUAACAGGCAGUUACAAAUAACGGCUGUGACGGAGGAGCAAAACCUUUCCCAACAGCAGCAGUGCAUGUGGGUAGUGUGCACUCAGCAAGGAGAUGCAGCAUACCUGAAGUCUUGGAGCAGUGCUUUUAGGUAACAUUGCUGUUCUCUUGUCUCUCAUAUCUUUGUGCUAACCAUAUUUACAUUAAUUUUGUGUUCUUUUCCUUCGUGUUAUAAAGCCUCUUUUGUGUUUCUAACCACUCAUAAUUCCACAAAAUCUGGGUUUUAAGCUUGUAUGCCCCAAGACCCAAACAAAACAAGCGUUAGAUGGCUGUUUUUUCUUUGUCGUGUUUGCAGUGGUUUGUUGUUUAGUUUCAUUGGUUUCAUUUUAAACUGGAAAAUGGUACUCUAAAAUGUGGCACUCCACCCACUGACUGCAUACAAAAGGUUUUAAAUUAACAGGAGAGUUAACAUUCUUCCAAACCUCAGUGCAGAACAUAUAUAAUUAUGCUAAAUCGUUGUUGGAAGCUAUUUUGACAGGAAAUGUUGUCUGCCGUCUGAGAUUUCGCUAUAUGUAUAUACUUCAGGCAUGUCAGCUUUGUUAAAGUCUCUUAAACUGCAGCAUUAUUAAUAGCAGUAGAAUGAGCUGCCGUAGCCCACUUUAAUGCACUGUAAGUGUGGCAGUGGACGGAUGUUCCCUCCACCUUGCCUCCAGCUUUGUAUGGAGCUCCAGUUGUCCUGUGUCUCAGUACUGACAUUUGUCAAGUUGAACCGCUUGUCUUUAAACCUACACAACUAUUCCAGGG